UAUAAUCAUAGUUUGGAGCCGGAAAACCUACAAACGUUUUUCAAAGCAGAUCGGCAGUUUUAAAACUCACUUUUCUGAAAAAAAAAAAAAAAAAAAAAUAUUUUUAAGUCAUGGCCAUUAAAAAUGGCAAAACUUUAUUUGGCAUAUUUGGACGUACGACACACUGUUUACAGAUCUCAUGUGAUAACCCCAUAAAUGUUGCUAAAUCAAAAAACUGAAAAAAA